UGAUCACAGCAGGAAGUAGCAUUACUGCGACUUGCCUCUUACAGAGGUGGGAGUCACUUUGGGUCCGCCUUGUCUUCGUUUUAUUUUAAGAAAUGCCGCAGAAAGACCCUUGUCAAAAGCAAGCGUGCGCCAUCCAGAAGUGUUUGCAAGCUAAUAAGUACCUGGAGAGUCUGUGCGAGGAGGUGAUCCGAGACAUGCGGCGGUGCUGUGAAGCCCAGGGGGGAAACUCGGUGUGCUGCUCCGGUUUUAAGGACCCCAAACCGACGGAGGACAAGAGCGACACAUGACUGACCUCAUCUGUUUUUUAUGUAGCGGUAGAAAGCUCCGUUCCGUCAAUGUAGGAGGGUUACAUGGAGCCUGCUCUGGUGCCUAUCAGCAGCUGUCAUUGGGCUAGAGGCGGGGUCUGGACAGGUCGCCGGUCCGUCACAGGGCAACGCAGAGACACCAAGGACAAACAACCAUGCACACACAUAUUCAUGCCCAAAGAAAGUUUAUAGAGACCAAUUAACUCAACAGUCACGUUUUUGGAUUGUGGGAGGACUCCAUGCAGAAAGAGCACAGGCUGGAGUUUGAACCCAGGACCUUCAGAACCUAUUAAUAGCACAAGAGGAUGUAAUAAAACCCAUACCUAUCUGUCAGCAAUCUGGAAUUUCUGUGGCAUUACAAAAAAUUGUACAA